rnacentral:rRNA from 1 species
UACGUAGGGGGCGAGCGUUGUCCGAAGUUACUGGGCGUAAAGCGCGCGUAGGCGGCUUCUUAAGUCUGGUGUGAAAGGUUCAGGGCUCAACCCGAACAGUGCACUGGAUACUGGGGAGCUUGAGUUUGGGAGAGGGUAGUGGAAUUCCUGGUGUAGCGGUGAAAUGCGUAGAUAUCAGGAGGAACACCGAUGGCGAAGGCAGCUACCUGGCCCGAUACUGACGCUGAGGUGCGAAAGCGUGGGGAGCGAACGGG